AGAAUCAACGCUGGCGGCGUGCCUAACACAUGCAAGUCGAACGAGAAAGGGACUUCGGUCCUGAGUAUAGUGGCGCACGGGUGAGUAACACGUGAAUAAUCUACCUCCGAGUGGGGAAUAACUGAGAGAAAUCUUAGCUAAUACCGCAUAACACUUACGAGUCAAAGCAGCAAUGCGCUUGGAGAGGAGUUCGCGGCAGAUUAGUUAGUUGGCGGGGUAAUGGCCCACCAAGACGAUGAUCUGUAUCCGGCCUGAGAGGGCGCACGGACACACUGGAACUGAAACACGGUCCAGACUCCUACGGAGGCAGCAGUGGGGAAUUUUGCGCAAUGGGGGAAACCCUGACGCAGCAACGCCGCGUGGAGGAUGAAGUAUCUUGGUACGUAAACUCCUUUCGAUGGGGAAGAUAAUGACGGUACCCAUAGAAGAAGCCCCGGCUAACUUCGUGCCAGCAGCCGC
rnacentral:rRNA from 1 species